GUAGCUCAAUGGCGGAGCACCGAGCUUAUACCUCGGGGGUUGUAGGUUCGCCCUGUC
rnacentral:tRNA from 1 species